UACGUAGGGUGCAAGCGUUGUCCGGAAUUAUUGGGCGUAAAGAGCUCGUAGGCGGUCUGUCGCGUCGGCUGUGAAAACCCGGGGCUCAACCCCGAGCCUGCUUCCGAUACGGGCAGACUAGAGGUAUGCAGGGGAGAAUGGAAUUCCUGGUGUAGCGGUGAAAUGCGCAGAUAUCAGGAGGAACACCGGUGGCGAAGGCGGUUCUCUGGGCAUUACCUGACGCUGAGGAGCGAAAGUGUGGGGAGCGAACAGG
rnacentral:rRNA from 1 species